rnacentral:lncRNA from 1 species
GGGAUUCUUUGAAAGGCCAGUCUGUGAAGAGCUGCUACUUCUAUAUCAUACCAGCAAGGGGUGUCAAAGGCUCCCAUUCCAGAAACGGGUGGCCCCUCUGCCAUCUCGCUUUCAAGCUGGUUGGGCACCUCUUUCUCCUGCAGCCCUGGGAGACUCCAGGUGAUUGGCAGAGUGAUGUCAGCUGAGAUGGAUGCACACACCAAGGGAAGACACAUGUUGAGGAAUGAAAAGACAGCCGCCACAGUGUAAGCUUCCAGCCCAGGAGGGCCCAGGAGGGCGCAGGAGCUUUGAAAGCUUAUCAGGAGCUGCUGUGAGGAAAUACCUUCUUUAUCACUUGUCACCUAUGCCGGGCCGCCAGAUGGUUCCACUUGCCUUCUCCUAAAACAGUCAGCAUUGUUGUUCAGAGAGCAGGUCUUCGUGAGGCAAAUGGGAGAGCGAGCGGGAUUUGGGUCAGAACACAGCGGCUGCCCUCAAACUGGCUGUUGUGGCAAGGCUUUAGUUCCCUGCUUUGUCUUGUGUUCCCGCUCAGUCUCUGAAGCCUGGACUCAGGAAACUGCUCCUCCACCAUCUCUCCUGACACAGUCUGUUUCUUGUCCUCUGAGGUCUUUUGCCCUGUGUGACCGCACUGCCCACUGUUGAGUUCAGCAAUGCUGGGAAGACUCCAAGCGUCGGCCCAGAAACUCCUUCAAGAAAGCCAAAUUCUCACCGAUGCGGGGAGAAUACCAACAAUUGGGCCUAAAAAGGCCCAUUUCUGGAAUUGAGAAGCUGGGAACACCAAAUCAAAAGUUGGCAGCAGCAGAGAAACAGAAGCCCACUAGGGACCACACAGGCACUGGGCUGCCUCAGUUCUCUACGUAAAGGAGCUAGAAAGAGCAGGGCGCCCUGGAGUGGGACUGAGCAGAGGUGCAUGGAGACCCUCAACCACAGCUCAAGGGGCCAAGAGGCUUUGGAGUGAGAGGCCAAGGUUCUGGAUGCAGGCUUCACUUAAAGGUUACCGGGGCCCUCCUGAGCGGGAUCCAUCAGCCUGCUAUGACUCCCUAGAGUGAGAUGCAAUAAUUACCACCUCAUCCCACCUUUUAACCACUGUUCUUAUCCUCCGUGGUUAGUCCUCUCCAUCCUAACCUUUCUGUUCGGGGAGAGUUUCUGCUUUUCCUAUUCAGUAUGUCCUGAUGCGUCUAAAAGAGCCAUCGCCCACCCUUGUCAGGCAGCUGCGCUCUGAUUCUCCGAUUUAAACGGGCUCAGGACCACUGUACUCUACCAGGCCUGCUGUGGACAGACGCUUUCCCAGCAUCACAGCAGACGGAGGCUCGUAACUAGUGUGGCAGCCUAGGAAGCCCUGAGUGUGAGGUUCCUAACUGAAUGUGUGCUGUUGACAGGGGCACCGCUGUGUCAAGGACCUAAGCUUCCGUCUCGGAGGGCCAUCUGAAAGCCUUCCCUCCUGUUCUGAGUGUGGAUAUAACACAGUGUGCUGAAAAUGUUCACCAUAACUCUCUGCCCGGAACCCACGGAUAUUUUCGCUCUGAAGACUACUCCCCUACAGAGACUGAUCCUACCGAGAUUAGCUAAACCUGGCUCCUUAAUCCAGCUGUGUACCAGAAACCCUGAAUCCUUGUUUAUCUGUAUGUAAUAACCACACCUUCUUAUUCAGCUGUAUGUAAUAAUAAUAACCCCGCCCUUCUGUUCAUCUCUAUAUAACAAACACACUGUUGCUUUGGGGAGGAGGCUAUGCUUUCUCCAACAUAGGGCUUGGAUCACCUAAACACGGCUUCCUGGCAGGUCCACCAGAGCUGUGUUGAGCCCAGCACCAGCGUACUAGCUGAUAUAAGGUUCCACCAUGCUAUUGCCAUUGUCCUGAUUCAAGAGAAGGAGUUUUUUGGCUCGGGCUCUGAAAGUCUAUGACCCUUUAAAUUCUGAACCCAGUCACUACACUAGAGUCAGCACUUCUCAAAGGAUAGCAUUUGCCUAACCCAGGACACUGGCUUUGUCUAGUGCCUGUAUGUAUUCAUCUUAUUUAAUGUGGGGUCUCAGAGCAAUUGCACACCAUUUUGCCCCAAAUCUCUGCUUUAAAGCAUGGUGGACUUCAUUUUAUAGUAUCUUGACAGCAUGACACGCACAUGAUGAACAUUAGGACAGUAAGUGCUUUGUAGAGAUUUUUUUUAAUCCAAUUAAUAACAUAACUGCUUUAAGAUAUUUCUAGCCAUUUAGGCUGAGGACAGGCCCAUUCGAGUCUACUUUAUAUCUCUGUCUUUUCAAGCAGGAAGUCCUAUAGUCAAUUCCAUCAAAUGCCACAAAACUUUCCUCUAGUUUCCAAUCCCACUGGUUUUCUCACUCCAGCUAGCUCCCUGCCUCCCACCAAGGCUCUUUACUUGAGUCCAACAACACCCACUGUGCAUGGUAGCUAUUAUUCCAAACACUGAGGCCAUACAGAGAAUGAGUAUAGCAGAACCCAGAACAGGGCAUUUCUACUGACUUCCAAGCAUGUGUAGGUGAGUAGGCAGAGCUGUAGUUCCCUAAAGACACCAAUAUCCUGAUUUCUGGAACCGGAGACUAUGUUGCUUUACAUAGCAAAAAAGACUUGGUAGAUUUGUUAAGUUAUGGAGUUUGAGGUUGUGAGAUUGUUCUGUAUACCCUGGGUGGGAUCAAGUUAAUCUAUAAGAAGUUCUUACAAGGGUCUGAGCCAGAGAAGGAUAGCGAUCACAGAAUCAUGUGAUAUAAACCCAGGAGCACAGAUAGCUUCUGGAAAAGAAACAGAAUAACUUCUUCUUGAAGGGUAUAGAAGGAACUAAACUGCUGUCCCAUUUUGGACUUCUGGCCUCCAGGACUAUCAGAAUAAACUUCUGCUUUAAGUUACCAAGUAAGUGGCAAUUAGUUACGGUGAUGAUAGGAAGCAAAUAGUGUAAAUAAUGCUGGGAAAGGAAAAUUUGCUACAACAGAGGCCAAUCAAUACUAUCUAUAGUACAAAAACAAAAACCAAAACAAUCAAUCAAACAAACAAAAACCCUACAGAAACGUGAAAACAAGUGUGAUCCCCUAUGCCUGGGAUACAGGGAACUUCUGAAUGUAAAUAAAUUUCCCAGAUUUCUCUCUGUGUACUCCAGCCUGGUCCUCUGCUAUCCUGCAGGAGGCUGUAAGGCUAUCUCUGAUUCUUCAGCCACUUUCAGAACCUGGGAUUGUUGUUGUUAUUGUUACACCCCAAUCUGUUCUCUCCUCUGUCUUCUGUCUUCCCACAGGAAAUAACAUCACCAUGAAUCCUCUACACAAGCUGGAAGCUAUAAUCUUCCACUCACAAACUGCCAGAGUUUUCCACACCAGUGGAUGUGUGAUGAUCAGAACAGAUUUAUUAUCUCUGUGAUUUCUUUCAACUUAAUAUUUCCAUUUACUUUCAACUAAAGCCUUUAACAGAAACGCCUCGGAUUAUUUUCAGAAGCAUUUCAAGGUCUAAAGUUUUUUGGAAUUCUAGAAUCAAGUGUCUAAGAAAAGGACUUUACACAUGAUGCCCUAAAACAAAGAGGGAGGGGGGCUUUUUAGAAGACAUAAAGAUUAUUCAAUGUAGCUGUCCAGCAGCCACGGAGAACUGGGUACCUGAAAGGGAGGCUGGAAAUGAAAAAGGAUGGGUGGGCAAGAGAAGGAUAAAACCAAGACAAAGGUUUCGAAGCUCAAAGUUUAAUUUUCAGCUCUGUGUUUAUAUAGGGAAAAACCCACAGACCCAUCCUUUGUUUCAGCUGCAUUAUGUUUUAACUGGGCAAUGUUGCAAAGCAAGCUCAGCAGGAAGUCUGCUCCUGCAGGAAACUGCAGGUAAGGCAAGAUGGAAGACUUCCACGUAAGUCAGAAGACUCCACCCUAGGUUGGAAGAUUCCAUCCUAGGUGGGCUAGGUCAGUGGAAGACCAACUGUGGCAAACAAUUAAGGUCUGUUUAGCCUGCUCAAACUGGGGGAAGGGCAUAAUUCAAGUCAUGACUGAGCCACCUAGUUUUGGCCACCUGGAAGAAAAGGUCCAGAACAGCCCAGAGACUCAGGAUAGAAGGAAACAUGACUGCCAAACCAACCAACCACCCAACCAACCAACCAACCAAAAUACCAAUGAAAUGAUUCUGAAUAAUAUCCAGCUAUACACAUAGUUUGCUGCCUAGCCUAGAUGUCAUCAGAGAGGUGUCUUCCAGCAACUAAUGGGAGCAGAUGCAGAGACCCACAGCCAAACACUAGGUGGAGCCAGAAAGAUUGUAGGAGCCAGAGGGGUAGAAGACAAAACAGGAACAUGGCUUACAGAUUCAACUAAGCAGGCUGGGCUCAUAGAGACUCACAGAAAUUGAAGUGACAAGCAUGGGGCCUGCAUGUGUCUGAGCUAGGUCCUUUGCAUAUACAUUAUUGUUUUGUAGCUUGGUCCUCUUUUGAGACUCCCAGCAAUGGGAGUAGGAGGUAUCUCUGAUUUUUUUGACUGCCUUUAGGACCCCUUUUCUCCUACUGGUUUGCUGUGUCGAGCCUCGAUACCAGGGUUUGUACCUAGUCUUAUUGUAUCUUGUUAGGUAGGCCAAGUGUUGUGGAAAUUCUCCAACCCAAAUAUGUCCCAGCAAUAAAAACAUGACCCAGUUAAUAUGAAUACAUGCUGUGCACCUAGAUUGGGCAGAUCUACUGCUACACUACCAUCUUCUCCAUUUAUGAGACCCCUUAGAACUUGCAGUUUCUCGAGGCCAUGUGCUUCUGCUCUGCUUUUCUUCUUCCUCCUCCUCCUUUGCAUCCUCUCCCUCUUCCAUUUUCUCCUUCUUCUCUCUCCCACCUUCUGCUCCACCUUCCCUUUUAUUUGCCCAGUCAUCAUCUCACCUUUAUUUUACAAAUUAAGGUGGGAAGCAGGUUUACAGGAAAUCACCUGAGUGCUGACUCAUUCCAUGUUCACCACCACUUAGGGGAGAACGGAAUUAACAUGAAAUAUAAUUAGCCCCAGGCCUAUCCACAACAAAUGAACUCCUGAUGUCUUGGUUUUUCAUCUGGAUUCUGUCAGGACACAGACCUGAGAGAUUAAUAUAAUCAUUGGUGUGGCCACCUUACCACCAACAAAUUCCCCCAUUUCCCUAUCCUUCCCCCUUCCUUCAAAAAAUAACUCAAUGACCAUAUUCACCUUGAAGAAGUUAUGAAGAGUCAUUGUCCCAGUUUCCUAAGCUUUGGGGCUGGGGUGAUUAUUAUAGGUUGUCUUUGAUACUAAAAAUUUUUAAUUACAGGGCUUAGACCCAGCCCUCCUAUUGCUGUUUAUAAACAUAUCUGAGAUGUUUCAGCCUGUGAGUUAAGGGUCAAAUAGGAAAUUCAUGGCUCUGAGUUUAUCGUUAGGGUGUUUUCAGUUAUUUUAAUUAGAAAUGGCUGAGUAUAGUUAAUAGACAAGAGUCCAGAUUACUUCACAUAGAUAGUUGGUUUUCAAAAACAUCAAAGUCCACAGAAUGUGACAUUUAAUGUUAUUUUGAAAGAAAAUAAAACUUGAGACCUGUGAUUCAUGUAAUU